rnacentral:tRNA from 1 species
GCAUUCGUAAUGUAGUGGUCAACACGCUCGGUGCGUACUCGAGAGGUCCGUGGUUCGAGUCCCGGCGAGGGCA